rnacentral:lncRNA from 1 species
AAGUCUUCCGCUUCAACUCUGGACCAGUUGCCAUCUCGAUCAAUGAAUAGACUCCUGAAUGAACCUGAGAAAUGAUAUGGAUGCAGAGAUUAGCUUUUUCUUUUCUUUUCUUUUCUUUCAAUUUUUUCCUUGAUUGCAUAUUUUUUUGAAAAUAAACAUGCUAUGAUGCAAAUGAUGCAGACAAGACUGGCUGGUUGUGCAUCUCGGAGCACAGGAUCAGAGCUUCG